rnacentral:rRNA from 1 species
CGAGCGCAACCCUUGUCCUUAGUUACCAGCACGUUAUGGUGGCACUCUAAGGAGACUGCCGGUGACAAACCGGAGGAAGGUGGGGAUGACGUCAAGUCAUCAUGGCCCUUACGGCCUGGGCUACACACGUGCUACAAUGGUCGGUACAAAGGGUUGCCAAGCCGCGAGGUGGAGCUAAUCCCAUAAAACCGAUCGUAGUCCGGAUCGCAGUCUGCAACUCGACUGCGUGAAGUCGGAAUCGCUAGUAAUCGUGAAUCAGAAUGUCACGGUGAAUACGUUCCCGGGCCUU